GUUUUUUGCAGAGAAAUGUGCAUUCAUAGGUGUGCAAAGCAUGCAGGUGUGUGCAGAAUGCGAAGGCAUUUUUUUUUUUUGGAAUUUUGAGAAAGUUCUUGAGGUAGUACCUAUAUCAAAUAGGCAGAAAUAUAUUCUCUUUGUAAUUGCUUCACUCUAGCUAUAUCUGAGUUUGUAUGAUUACAUCUUGGUAUAAGCAACAUUCACAGAGCCUACUUUGCUUUUUAGUACACAAGCAACCUGGGUGCAAUUUUGGGGCGCAAGCUUGUCUUUAGGGUCCUGGGUGAUCAUACAACCUGUCAAGCAUUUCUUAGCCUAAUUGCUUGUUUGGUAGAUGAGGCUCAUGUAGGUAGUAUAAAGGUAAAUCAUAGAUCUGAAUAAGAGUGAAUCUGUGCUUAUUAAUUCUUGAGAAAAGAUAUUCUCCUCUUCCUCAUCCCACUUGCUUAGAUGCCCACAUGGAGAUAAGCAAGAUGUUGUGGUUUAGAUCUAGAAUGUUCUCCUGAAGCCUGGUGUGUUCAGAGAUGGGGUUUGUAGAAGGUGAUUGGAUCCUAGGGCACUAUACCCAUCAACAGACUCAUCCAUUCGUUAGUUCAGUAGCUGAAUCUGCUGUUAGAAGGUGAGGCCUGGUUCUAGGUGGGUCACUGGGUGCAUGACCUGGGAGGGCACACUCUUGUCCCUCAUUCUUGCCUUCUCUCUCUGCUUCCUGAAAGCCGUGAUAUGAUCAGCUUCCCUCCACGUCAGGUCUGCCACCAUAUUGUUUCUGUGUUUGAGCCUGCAGGCCAUGAACUGAAACUUCUGAAACUGUGAGCCCAAACAGACUUUUCCUCCAUUCAGUUGUGCCUGUUGGGUAUUUUGCCCCAACGAUGGGAAAGUAACAGAGAUACAAGCAUUCCUGUUGCCUCUUCAUGCUGAUCUGAGAAAACAUUCCUUUCCAUUGGAAAGGCAAUAUGAGUGAAAGCAUCCUUUGUCUGCAGAUUCCUGGGACACUUUCGCAAUUAGUGCUUUCCACUACAAAUCUAGAAGUACACUUGUCUCAACUCCAGAGUGUUUACACCAAAAACGGAGCAGACGGCUCUGCAGUUAUUGAAUGUGAGCACUGUCUUGGGCAGAGAAGGGAGGAGCUCAGGUUCUCUAGUGUGAUCCGGUACAGAAAGACCAGUGAGAUCUUUGACAAGUGA
rnacentral:lncRNA from 1 species